rnacentral:rRNA from 1 species
CUUGUACCUAGCAGUCCGCCUCCGGGCGGGCGACAUCCGCCUGUUGCUGGAAAUCGCCUUCCUCCGGGGAGGUCAACCAGCUGCUGCAUGCCCGUGCAGUCCACAGAUCAAACGCGGGUGGCCUGCGCCUCGGGGAACACCCCUGGGGUCGCUGGUUAAGAUAUGACCGUAGCAGCUCUGCGAAGAUGCUGAUCACUAGUUCCGUAGGUGAACCUGCGGAAGGAUCAUUACCGAGAGAGGGACUUCGCGUCCCCCGGGGAUCGCUACGGCACCCCAACUCUUCAACCCAGUGUCUACCAAUCUUUGUUGCUUUGGCGAGUGCCGGGGCGCAAGCUUCGGCCCUGACUUCGGUCAGCGAGCCCUCGCCAGAGGCCCACCACAAUUCUGUUUUCAGUGAAGUCCGAGCAUACAAACGAAUAAAUCAAAAACUUUCAACAACGGAUCUCUUGGUUCUGGCAUCGAUGAAGAACGCAGCGAAAUGCGAUAAGUAAUGUGAAUUGCAGAAUUCAGUGAAUCAUCGAAUCUUUGAACGCACAUUGCGCCCCUUGGUAUUCCGAGGGGCAUGCCUGUUCGAGCGUCAUUGCAACCCUCAAGCUUUGCUUGGUAUUGGGUCUUCGCCUUGCCUCCGGGGAGGGCGUGCCCGAAAAUCAGUGGCGGUCCAGGGAGACUUCAAGCGCAGUAAAACUUUCCGCUUUCGAAGGCCUCGCCUGUGGCUAAGCCGUGAAACCCCCCGAUUUUUCAAUGAUUGACCUCGGAUCAGGUAGGGAUACCCGCUGA